rnacentral:rRNA from 1 species
CCUACGGGUGGCAGCAGUAGGGAAUAUUGGUCAAUGGGGGAAACCCUGAAGCAGCAACGCCGCGUGGAGGAUGACGGUUUUCGGAUUGUAAACCCCUUUUGUUAGAGAAGAAAAUGACGUUAUCAAAAGCAUAAGCACCGGCUAACACCGUGCCAGCAGCCGCGGUAAUACGGAGGGUGCAAGCGUUACUCGGAAUCACUGGGCGUAAAGGGCGCGUAGGCGGGUUAGCAAGUCAGAUGUGAAAUCCUAUGGAUUAACCAGAGAACUGCAUUUGAAACUGUUAUUCUAGAGUAUGGGAGAGGUAGGUGGAAUUCUUGGUGUAGGAGUAAAAUCCGUAGAUAUCAAGAAGAAUACUCAUUGCGAAGGCAACCUGCUAGAACAUAACUGACGCUGAUGCGCGAAAGCGUGGGGAGCAAACAGGAUUAGAUACCCUUGUAGUC